rnacentral:sRNA from 1 species
UUUACUCGGUAGGUGAGGCUACCGAAGGGAUACGGAUUGCUACCGCGAAAUAAUGGAGACAAUAUUAGUUGGUUAGCAGGUUAUGUCGCCACAAGGCAUAAUCUAAUGCAAUUUCAUUGCCCUUCGAUGCUAAAGCUUGGACGGUGGGUA